UGGCCGGACAAGUCCGUUGGGAAAUCCACCCGCUUAACGGGUGGGCGUCCAGCGGAAACUGUCCGGCUUGGAGCCGGAAGACCUGAGGGGUACGUCCGGGGUAGGAGUGAAAUCCCGUAAUCCUGGACGGACCGCCGGUGGCGAAAGCGCCUCAGGAGGACGGACUCGACAGUGAGGGACGAAAGCCAGGGUCUCGAACCGGAUUAGAUACCCGGGUAGUCCUGGCUGUAAACGAUGUCCGCUAGGUGUGGCGCAGGCUACGAGCCUGCGCUGUGCCGUAGGGAAGCCGUGAAGCGGACCGCCUGGGAA
rnacentral:rRNA from 1 species